rnacentral:lncRNA from 1 species
CCUUCCACAGCUUGAGGACCAGGGAAGCGUGCCCAGAGGAAGUCAUGGGUGAGCCAAGGCCCUGCUGGGACCAUGUGCACCGCGACAUACCUGAAGCCCAGCCCUGAGCCUUCCCACAAUAACUAGGGCCUGAGUCCCAGGUCCAGGCUGUCAUCCCCUCCAGUGG